CGGGGUUAGGUUUAGGGGUAGGGGUUGGAUUUUCGGGGUUCAGUUUAGGGGUAGGGGUUACGUUUAGGAGUCAGUUGUAAGGCGCAUGUGACGUGGCACGGACUGGAGUUGCACAUAGAGAAAUAAAUGGUGUUAGUAAUUAUAAACGAGGAAAGGUGAAUGAUGGACUGACGACGCGUUUACCUCAAUUAAUUGUGUUGAAGGGGAAAAAAGGUUUUAAAAAUAUGAUUUGCCAAAGAUAUCCUGUUUUAAGGAUAGUUCAUGUGUUUAUUUUUUUUUAAACAGCUGUGCGAGCAACUAAGAGCCCUAGUUGUAUUACAGUACAACUGUAUUUUGAUUGACUCUACAGUAAUCCAUCACGUUUUCACCCGUCACACAUGCACCUUUACUGCUUGUCUGCCAUGAUCAACCUCUUCAGCAACAUUAGUUUAUAUUUGAACAGAGAAGAUUAGUUCAGAAAUUGGAGAUCCCAUCAAAGUUUUCGUACACUGUGUUGUAUGUGAUCCGUAUGCUGUCAUUGCUGGCAGUGUCACGCGAGCUGUUCAGUGUGUUGAUAUGUAAAUAAAUCCUGUACGCCUGUGGGGGGGCGAAUUCACUUCAACUCCUGUCUCGAUCUCCUGCCUGUCACUCAGCAGCGAGUGCACGCACCCACAGGGCAGACAGCUACUCCGUCACAAACAUUAAUACCCUGGAUCUUUCUAAACAAGGGAUUUAGGGGAGCUCCCUAGUAAAAGCUGAAUCUCAAGACAAUAACUGUGUGAAUACAGUAACUGUUCCAGCUGUGUAUAAUGGGAUUUGAAACAGGAUUCAUUCAUCUGCGUGUUUACAUCUCCGCCCUGACUCUGGUCCCAGCGCAGUCAGAUACGCGACUCUACUGUGUUUCUGUAAAGAAGUUUAGAAUUGUUUUCUUCUCUGCAUUUUAUGUUCACAUUAAUGUAAUCGAGGUCAAGGAUGAGAAUUGUGCUAGAAUGUUGUGAGUGUGAGUUAAGGGUGCCGUACCCGAAUCCAGUACUGUUUGAGAUUGAGUUGCCGUGUGCCUGUUGUUUAAGCUGUUCUUGUAUAGGUAAAACUCAGAGUAAAACAUUACCAGUGACACUGAGUGGGCUCCAUUGAAAAUCUAUAGCAGUGUAUAGUGGUAGAAUUAUUUUUUUCUUCUUUAAUUCUGAUGUCUUAUUUUUCUUAAUGUAUUAAUCUCAUGGGGGAAAAAAAAAAAGACUACCUUAUUAUUAUUUAAAACUUUUGUUUAACAAUCGUGUACCCUUUUUUUUCUUUUGAUUUUGUUUUUAGAGUACCCAAUUAUUUCACAUUCCAGAUUUCUUUUCCCCCAGUUUAGAAUGCCUAGUUGUUUGUUUCCCCCCCUGGUCUCAGCAGUUCCUCCACACAGCUGCUCAGGAGAACUGCAGGUCCAGUGGACGUCCUCCGAUCCCACGACCGAGCUAGCGUCAGCUCGAGACGCUUGUUGUGUUUUUUUUUUUUUUUAAAACAGUAACGCCUUAAAUGGGGAGCAUUAAACUACUCCCACGUUCAAAAUAACCAUUUCUAAAUCUUCAUUUUCAAUUUCAGUAAAUGUUUUAGUGCACAUGCUCAGAGGAACCUUUUAAAUCAACAUUCAGCACUUUGUAUUUAAAAAUAAAUAAAUAAAAAUAAAUGUUUUUUUUUUUUAUUGUAGACGCACAACAUUAUUGGAAAAGGGUUAACAGAUGUGGUUAUUUAACGGAUAUAAGAAAAUUAGUCAGUGGGAAGGUGCUAUGCUUUUUUUAUUCCAAUUGUUUUAAAGAUUGAAAAGCAUCAGCUAUUCUAUAACAAGCCUGACUGUGAAAUAGAGUUGCGUUAAUUAUACUGGGUUAAAAUGGAAUAUAUUUUAACAUGGGGUGGUCAUAGGACCAUCACAUUUGUGGUAAAGGUAAAUUAAUUCUGCUUUCAUAUCAAGCAUGUAUUAUUGAGUUCCAUAGAGACCAUGUUUCUGUAGUUAAAAUAGUAAUAAUAAUAAUUAUUAUUAGUUGAUAACCAUCUGCUUUUGGAAUUACACUAGAACGCACAAUUUUUUUUUCACCCAUAAUUAAAAUAUUUUUUUAAAUUUAUAUUUGUGUAUUUUAUGAAUAUGAGGAAUAAAAAUAUGCUUAUGCACAUGUUCAUCUUCCCGCUCUCUCCCGUGUGGUCGGGAUAAUUACCCCAUUAUUCACCUCGAUUGCAGGGGCCGCUUCCCUGGGCAAAUCUCUGAGCGCUCAGGUGUGAGCGUGACUCCUCCCCCUCACAGGUAGCUCCGCCCCUUCCUCAGGGCAGCGAGAUGGCGGCUGGAGUAAGGCUUGCGUCUGUGUUGCUGCAAUAGACACGUGUUUUUAUGAUAUGUGUUUUUUAAAUGUGUGUUUGGCUGUUUUUACUUUCGUUCCUGUUUAUGAUAGUGUGACAGAACGACUUUUGAAAGAGAAGAUUUUGGCGUCUAACGGCAGGACUAGCAGAGAUGAUCCAAGGUCCUGACUCGCUUCAGGCUGAUUGACACCAUUCCCUUUCACAUGGUGUAGAGAGGGUUACUUACCUGCAGUGUUCUCUGGCUGUGUGUGCAGCGCCUUCAUGAAAUCCUUUCUGUUUAUGCAUUUAAGGGUUUUGCGUUCAUUUGGUUUUUAUAUAACACUUCAAUUGUUGCUCUGGGCAUGUGUAUGUAUGCAAUGUAAUGAAAAUAUAUUUUAUUUA